rnacentral:lncRNA from 1 species
GCUGCUGAAAGGGUCCAGGGUAAGACUGCGUCCUGGGAUAGGUGAGAAGCACAGAAGAGGAGCGGCAGACCUCACUUCCAGGAGGCGGGACACAACCCUCUGUGACACAGGAAAGAAAAUGGCUGCCAUUCCUUAAAGAACUGCAACUGCCACAGAACUUGGUCUCCUCAGGUCACCCGGGGCUUCUGGAACCUUCCCCAGUAGGAGCAGCA